rnacentral:lncRNA from 1 species
AGAAAAAAGGGACUCUUCUUGUUCUAUAGUGAGCGAACGAACGAAGGAGAAACAUAAAUUUAAAUUGAAAGCCUUAGCUCUCAAACUAAAGAGAGAGGUGGAAGAAGAAGAAGAACGAGAAGAAGGUAAGUUUCUUAACUUAGUCUAAAGGUUGAAUUUGUAUCUUCCAUGACUAUAAGAUUGGGAAUUGGGAAGUUGAGAAACAUGGGUUUAGAAGAAAAAGAGGAAAUUUAUUUCAUUCUUAUGAACCAAGUGAAUAUAGUCAAUGAUUUGAACUAUAAACGUUGGUAUUGGGCUUAUAUGCAAUAAGAGUAAUUAGGCAGUAAGGUUAGGUUGAUCUUUUUACAGCGAGAAUUGACCAAGAAGAGACUAAUGUGUGUGAUUAAAGCACUAAUUAAGUGAUUGGGCAGAUUUCGAAUCAGUCAUGAAACCUCUAGGGCUGGGUUUUUAUUUUAUUUUUAAAUGUAGUAUGAAUUACCUAAAUGAAGGAGUUAACACGAAAUUAUUAUGAAUGUGAUUAUAGAUUGACCAAAGGAAUUCGUACGGAGUGAUUGAGUGGCAAGCUUGGUAACUCAACACAAGUACAGUGAGUAGUAAUCUUACCACAAUUGAUGUUUUAUAACUUGCAUGACUUUCACAUGAUUUAUAAAGCAAAUGUGUUACCGAAUGUUUUAAACUUGCAUGUGGGACAAGUCUUUUACUGGAUAUGAUACUGAAAAGAUUAUUUGAGAUGAUAUCAUUCGUAUAAGAUAUGAUUACUGAUAUUGAAAAGGUUUUACACUUAUUUGAGAAAUAGUAUUUUGACAGGUGAUUGUUAAACUUUGAAAUGUUCUGAUUUGGUAAGAUAUAAAUGUUCUAUCUGAUUUUGAAAUGCUUCUACAGAUUAUAAGAAAAGUAUAAAUGGGAGUAGACCUUGAUGAAUCCCGUAGCUAACGGCGGGUUCGUUAGACCUGGUGCACCUUGUAGCUCUGAUUUCUGAUAAAGCCCUUGCUAGUGGGAAGUUAGAACUAGUAUACUGUUAUUGAUAUCCCUCGAGUAGGGAUCUACUGAUAUGAAUAAUAACUCUUUUAUAAGGAGUUCACUGUUAUUGGUUACUUCUUAAAGAGAAGACCACAGUGAUUACAUGGUUCAUCCUUGGAAACCUCCCAGCUAUAAGAUUUGAUAUGAAAAUGUUCUUUUUCUGAGUUUGCUAUUAUGUAUUUACAUUGAUUUUGCUUAUAUGAGGCACCUAAGGUUGAAUAUUGUUAUUGUUUCUGAAAGAGCAUUGUUUCAUCAUCAUGACUAUUACACUAGCAUGCUUUCUGACUUGUCCCUCAUUAAAAUGGUUGGGGUUAAGUAUUAAUUACUCACUGAGCUAGCGUCUCACUCCUCGCUAUUUGUUUUUUUUACAGAGAAUUCAAGUGGUAUUGAAGAGGAUUUCAUUAACUAGCGUGUGAGUUGGUAGCAUCUGGUGAGCCCCGCAUUGUUUCGCGUGGCAAGAGAACUAUUGAUUUGUUAUGUUUAUUUAGUUUCUUUUAAAAACUCUUAGAGUAGCUCCAUU